rnacentral:rRNA from 1 species
CCUACGGGGGGCAGCAGUGGGGAAUAUUGGGCAAUGGAGGAAACUCUGACCCAGCAAUGCCGCGUGAAUGAAGAAGGUCUUCGGAUUGUAAAGUUCUUUAGUCAGGGAAGAAUAAAAUGACGGUACCUUAAGAAUAAGCUCCGGCUAACUACGUGCCAGCAGCCGCGGUAAUACGUAGGGAGCAAGCGUUGUUCGGAAUGACUGGGCGUAAAGAGUGCGUAGGCGGGAUAGCAAGUCAGAUGUGAAAUCCUAUGGCUUAACCAUAGAACUGCAUUUGAAACUGUUAUUCUAGAGUAUGGGAGAGGUAGGUGGAAUUCUUGGUGUAGGGGUAAAAUCCGUAGAGAUCAAGAGGAAUACUCAUUGCGAAGGCGACCUGCUAGAACAUAACUGACGCUGAUGCGCGAAAGCGUGGGGAGCAAACAGGAUUAGAUACCCGGGUAGUC